rnacentral:rRNA from 1 species
AUUGAACGCUGGCGGCAUGCUUUACACAUGCAAGUCGAACGGCAGCACGGGUGCUUGCACCUGGUGGCGAGUGGCGGACGGGUGAGUAAUACAUCGGAACGUAUCCUAAAGUGGGGGAUAACGCAUCGAAAGAUGUGCUAAUACCGCAUACACUCUGAGGAGGAAAGUAGGGGAUCGAAAGACCUUAUGCUUUUGGAGCGGCCGAUGUCUGAUUAGCUAGUUGGUAAGGUAAUGGCUUACCAAGGCAACGAUCAGUAGUUGGUCUGAGAGGACGACCAGCCACACUGGGACUGAGACACGGCCCAGACUCCUACGGGAGGCAGCAGUGGGGAAUUUUGGACAAUGGGCGGAAGCCUGAUCCAGCCAUGCCGCGUGAGUGAAGAAGGCCU